UGCUUUAUUAUUAAGGAAGACAUGUGCUUAAUCAAAAUAAAUGAACCGGUUAUUUACUAAAUUGAGUUAGCACUCUUUUUCGAAUUUGAAAAUGAAAUGAGCGACUAGUUUAUUCGUCAAUCGAAUCCAUCAUAUGCUCAUAUUUAGAUCAUUAAUCAACUCAAUAACGUAAAUAAAAAUCGUUCAGACAAAUUAAUUGCACAUAAGCAAAACUACAAUGACAAAUGCAUGUAUUUAUGUUAUGUUAUAUUUUUACGCAUUUUCGGCUCUCUCAAAUGUCGGCUUAACUGUUGUUCUUACCCUUCAAAGUUGGUAUCAUUCUAAGCUUUACGAUAUCAUCAAGUUUAUGCCAUGCUUAGUCGGUUGACAAGCGUUUGACAUUUUGUCUGUCCGCUGGUGAUUAUACGCGUAGCGCUUGAGUCAACCGCCGAUCAGCAACAAGUUCUAGAACCUACGCCUCACUGACUUAAUAGAGUACCAUCCAGUUUUUGAGCAGCAGAAGCAGCAGCAGCACCAGCGGUAGCUACACGUGGUCAGAAGAGAUACUGGUAAUACAACUAUGGUAUGAGAACCACUUACUUGUGCCUUUAAAGAUGGAUUCGAAAAGUAACCAUCCAAACAUUGUCCCUGCAAAACACAUUGUUUGCCGGCGGAACACUUCAGAAUUUCCUCAGGUGGUAAAUAGGUGGGUCCUUUAAACGGUGAUGCCUGCCGACUUAUAAUUGCAUGCUCCAAAAAUAUAUUUGUUGCCGGACUUAUUGCGUUUGAUUUACUUGGAUUCGCUUUAAUGCCAUUCUGAUAUUCACCAUUAAGGAACAUAUUCGAUGAAUACUGUGCGAAGCUGGCGCCACAGCAUAGUGUGACCGCAAGGCCGAGCAGAAUAUGCUGACACCGUAACAUUGUAGAUUUCUAGGUUAAGUUAUUUAAGGCGACUAAAUGUAAAUGCAGAGGCUGUAAUGAAGAGAGAAAAGGGGAAAAUAAAUAUAUAUUUUGUACAGUUACAUUUUAAAAUAAAGUUAAAAUUUAAGCUAAUAAAUAAAA